rnacentral:rRNA from 1 species
UUGAAAUCUGGCGCCUUCGGUGUCCGAGUUGUAAUUUGAAGAUUGUAACCUUGGGGUUGGCUCUUGUCUAUGUUUCUUGGAACAGGACGUCACAGAGGGUGAGAAUCCCGUGCGAUGAGAUGCCCAAUUCUAUGUAAGGUGCUUUCGAAGAGUCGAGUUGUUUGGGAAUGCAGCUCUAAGUGGGUGGUAAAUUCCAUCUAAAGCUAAAUAUUGGCGAGAGACCGAUAGCGAACAAGUACAGUGAUGGAAAGAUGAAAAGAACUUUGAAAAGAGAGUGAAAAAGUACGUGAAAUUGUUGAAAGGGAA